GCUGCCUGGAAGCUGCCGCCGCCAUGGCAGGGAAGGGCAGGAGUGAGGGCAGCGCAGCCGGGGAGCUCCGGCCCUGCUCCUGCGGCUCGGAGCCUGCCGCCGUGCAGUGUCGGGAAGGGUUUGCUUAAAUGGGUUUGAAGUGCUUAAAAGGGUUUGUUUCCUCUAUAAAUAAUAUUAUCAGUAGUAGCGUUGUUCUGGGCAAGGCUCUCCUCCGUGCCCUCAAAACGCGUGUUGCGGGUGAGAAGGGGCUCUUGGAAGGCUCUGGAGCGCGCGUCACAUGAGGAGCAGCUGCGGGAGCUGUUUAGCCUGGAGGAGGCUCGGGAGGGACCUUCCCGCCCUCAACUCCCUGUAAGGAGCUCGUAGCCAGGUGGGGGUCGGCCUCUUCUUCGUAGUAACAAGUGGUAGGAUAAGUGCAAGUGGCCAGGGAACGGCCUUAAGCUGUGCUGCAGGAGGUUUAGAUGGGAUAUCCGGAAAAACUUCACAGAAAGGGUGAAGCAUUGGAAUAUGCUGCCCAGGGAAGUGGUGGAAUCACUGUCCCUGCAAGCGCUCAGAAAAGCUGUAAUGUGGUGUAUAUGAACAUGCUUUAGUGACAGAGUUGGCAGUGCUUGGUUAAUGGUUGGGUUCAUUGUUAAUGGUCUUUCCCAACAUUAACAAUUCUUUGUGAAAGACUGUUCCUGUGUUUCUUUUAUGUUUGGCUGUUUGUUGUUCGGGUUUUUUUUCUUUAAUGAUUUUCCCUAAAAUGCUGGGCAAUGAUAGGAAUGUUUUAUACCUUAACAGAAUAGCACUAUUUCAUUGUUGCUGUUACAAGUGCCCACGGGUGCGGGGGGAGCACUGUCCCCCUGUUUACUCUGUUCCAGUAUUCAGAGAAAUGGCUAGAAGGUGAACAUGAGUAGAUCAGGAUUUAAGAAAAUGCUUAUCAAUGCCUUGGUGCACAGGGUUUCUGCUUGCAGGUGAGGUUAGAUGCUCUGCAAGAAAAUACUGACCAUUUGCAUUAGUCCAUCGUGUCCAGCUACUCCUGUAACCCAUUAAUGCUUUUUUCAGCACUGAGAUUUUGAAAUUUGUCUACCUGAUAUGUUUUUUCUUCAUGGGUCAUUUUUAUCUUUAAGAUGUUUCAGUUUUUAUGCAUCGUCUUCAAGUCAAAGCUUACAAUUUUGCUUUUGUUGAGGGUUUGUUUUUGUUUUUGUUUUUUUGUUGGGUUUUGUUUUUUUGUGGGGUGUUUUGUUUUGGUUGGUUAUUUUCAUCCACCUGCAAACCUCUCUGCUAUACUGGAUACAAAUCACUCCGGAUUUUUGCACACAACACUGUGCUGCUCAUUUGUGGUAUUUUCUUUUGUGUCUAUGGGUUAUAUACUAUAGGACAGAGGUUUUGUCUCAAGUAGGUAUGGUGUCUUGUAUGGCUGCUGUUAAGAAGGUACAUAUAUCUUUAAGUUGAUAAUUAUUAAAAGCUUGACACAGAUGGAGGAAACAAAAACCUAUAUUAUUCAGGUUCAACUGAAGAAUGUAUAAUGCUACACGUGUCCUUGAAGUUUUCCUGCUAAUGAGCCUUAACAUAAACUUAAAAAAAAAAAAAAUUUAAAAAAGGCAGCUUUAAAAUGGAAAAUUGACAUGAUUUCUGCCUACAAGAUCUCAAAAUAAUGACUAUAGCCAUAGGAAAGUGUUAAUCCUUGUGGUGGUCAUUAAACAACCAAAAAUUAGCAGAGGGAGCAUUAAUUGGGAAAGUGGAUUUUCAGAGGUUGUGCAGUCCUAUGUCAUGACAAGACUCCAGACGAACAUGAGCUGCCAAAGUCAAGGAGAGCUAACUAACCCAAGAGCCUUGAAAGAGACCUACUGUAUGUCUGUACCGAAGAAAUUCUUGAAUUAGUGAUGAGAAAUACUGUAAAGCAGAAGAGUCACACUGAAAUGUCAGUGGUCAAGUUGCACCCGUUUUGCAACAGUAGCAGCCACUGACAUGGAAAAGCACUAGCAGAUAGGUGGAAGUGUGGUUCCAGUUCAGAACUUACUAUGCAAAAGAAAUGGGAAUAAAAACACCUUGUAUUUGGAGUUUGACAUGUCUGCACAUUAUCAAGAAAAGGUUGUAAACAUUGUAAUUCAAAAUGGGAUGCCCGUAGAGCCAAUUAGUAAGGGAUGGAGUAUGACCUAGGAGAAGAUAAUGAGAAUUACAGACUUUAUGCAUUGCCUUGUGUUAGUUUAAGACAUGGAAGGUUUUGCUUACUUAAAUCUUCAUUGAAAUCACCAGGCAAUUAUACCAGCAGUUUAUGCCAGCAGAGGGCUAGCUGUUGCACCUCAUGGCACUAAACAUCAUCUAUUAUAAAGAAAAUAUAGGUGCCAUCCUUCUUAAAGGUCUGCAGGCAUCUGCUCUAACAAAUUCAUUACACUCAAGCUGAGAUGUGUGUAUAUAUAUAUAUAUUCAUGUGUGCCUCCUUUUGUACAGGAGAAGUCCCCAUUAGUGGGUGUUUCUCUGCUCACAGAGGGCACUGCCUGAGCUUUGCAGUUUGUAGCUGCUGUUGGCUGUGCUGCACUGAGGUGAACAAUUAGCUCCACUGUAAAACAGAAGGUGAUACAGUGCCUGCCAGGCAGUCAGAAACCUGCAGAUAAGACCCUCUGUACCAACUGUUUGUGAUAAAACAUUCUUAGAGCAUAUUCUCUGUAUCGAUCACCUUUAGAGUAUAUGACACUGCUGAAGGUAAUGAGCACCAGAGUACCUGGGGCUGUACAGGGACUGACCUAAACCCCCACAUGCCUGUAAGGGGCUCUGUGCCUCCAGAGCUUUCUCUGAAAAAUGCUUGUUGCUCCAGAUAAAUCUGGGCAUCACUGUCCACAAAAUUCACAUGGACUUCUGUCCAAACUGCCUAAAACACAGUUCUGUUUGACUGCUGUCCAUGUGCCCUGGGGUUAUUUCACAAUGUUCUGUAAUUUUAAAUACCUGAAAGGGCUGGUCUACUCAAGCAUCUCUGGUGAGACAGAGCUCUAACAGGCAGUGCUAACACACAGCACAAAACAGCAAGAGCCAGUUUUUGAAGCAGCCCUGCAGGCUCCUUGAUUCAUUGGAUUGGUUCAUCCUUACUCCCUUCAUCUCCUGCCAGUUCCAGGCCCAAUCCUCUUGGUCAGCAGUCAGCUCACAAAACUGGGGAGCUGAAACUUUCGACCACACUUUCCAGAAACCUGUAACACUGAUAGUGACUUAUGGCAUUGUUCACCCCAACCUGAUGUCCUGAAAGCAACAACAAGACCCUGAACACCAGGUCCAAUAGGAGGUCCCCACAACAUCAGAAAUGCUGUUUUGGUCUCAAUUUUUAUUUUGUCUUCCAUAGAAUAUGCUUUCUUCGUUAAUUUAUCUGAAGGGAACAGGUCUAGCUUACUGAACAUAAAAGCAGAUGAUCCUUAUCCUGGAUCCACAGCUGAAAGUUACUGGGCACUGAAUGGAAAGGGCCUUCCCUUCUGGCCAUUUAAUUUCUAGGAGUGUGCUGGAGUUUCAACAAAAGCGGUUAUCUCUUCAUGUCCUCUGGUGGACUAGGUCCCGAAAUGAUUUGACUGGAGUUAGAAGGAUUAGCUUUUCUACAUGUAUUGUUGCAUGCCAGCCAAAAUGUUAUGUAUGUUUUAUCUGAAAGAGAAGGACAGGACUCAGCACUCAGUCUUUCUUAUAUGUCAACUGGAGAAGGGAUUGCCUUUUCACAGGCUAAAGAGAAGAAGGGAAAAUUACAGAAGUAAAGAUUUUCUUCAUGGGGGAGAGGCUUGGAAAGGAGCAAGAUAAAGGAAAUACAAACAGCAAGUACAUAUCCUACAUGAGAAUGGUAAAGGAUUUUAAUGUCUUGGACAUAGUACCACCACCUAUAACCACAGACUGUAGUUAAGGUGGUAUUGCAAGGAAAGAUAAUUUCCACUAAAGGCCAAAGCUAAUGCCAAAGCUAGUGUACUUGUCAGGCUGCUCUGACUGAUCGUGUUACCUGACUGUCCUCUUCUGGAACCUUCAGUUUGAUCACACUCCAACUUUCCCCUGCAAAUCAUUAUGUUUAUGGCAGGCCACAGGCAUCUUAAAGGUAUAGUUCACACUGGCACUCUAUUAGUCAAAAAGACAGCAUCACACUCAGUGAGGUACUGUGACUGUCAGGAUGAGGGCAUUUAUAUAUGGCACAAUGAUGCUGUUGUCAGCUCUGUGCAUGGCUGCUUAUCAAAAUCUCAGCAGUUCAGACCUGAAAGUACAGAUGAACCACUGCAAUGAUCACUAGGGUACAAUGGAUCACGAAGUACUGCAGAAUGUAAUUCCAUAUAAUUAUGAUGCUUUUAGAGCCCCUCGUGGGCCAGCAGAAGGGCUGGUGUUUGUCAGCUAUUCUGGCACAGCUCAACCUAUUGCCCCUCUGGACGCUGACUUGGUAAAUAGCCAGGGAGCAGAGGAUCAAACAGCAUAUGGCUUUGCAGACUUUACUGGGCUGCAGUAAACAUCCCAGCCCUGAACAGCUGUGCCUUGUCUCUAACAAGAUUACUUUUAAGAGACUGGUACCUUCUGGACUGGAUGAAAAUCUGGAAAUAAGCAUGUUGUUGUCAAGGCUUUGAGUGCACCAAGAGCCUCUUCCCCACUCCCUGGGGCUUGGUUGCCCAUCCUCCAUUGCAGCUCUGAUAUGGUGCAGCUGUAGCCUUGGAUCAGGGGGCUGGGGACAGAGCUGUGUGAGGAAGAGGCUUCCCAUGGGAAGCCUCAUGGGAGCCUCCUGCUCUUUGCUUGGGAGCUGCAUUGAAACUCAGGCUUCCAUCCUUGAGACUUGUCUUAGGUUUGCCUGUGCCUGUCCAUGCACCUUGCUGAUCCUGAGCCACUGGUUUGAUUGCUGACUUGACCCUGCACCUGCUUCAUCACUUCGGACAUGCCUGUGUUGAUUUCAAAGCUGAGAUCCAGAAGCAUUAGAAGUAGAUUCAGCAGUUCAGCUGCGGUUGACACUACCAGAACUGCUUCAUCAAGAGAAACAAGAGCAGAUGGAUACUUCCUUAACACCUGCUGCUGUGGGAGUCUUCUGAAACACUUGCAAAAUAUAACUACAGCAGAUAUUCCUUGCCACGUGCUCAGAGAGGGCAACAUUAUGGCUGCAUACUCUGAAACAGGAAAGGGAGACUAACACACAUAUUCCACAAGGGCCAUUGCAUGAUUUCAUGAAGCAGUAACACAUAUUAAAAUAAAUGAAUGGACAAGCAACAAAGACAAUCUCUCCUUGUAGCUAAAUAAAUCUUAGUCUGGUUCUGAUCCUUAGGCACUUAUGUCCCACCAUAUUACAGGUUAAAAUACUUUUCCAAACUGACUUUUUCCAAGUUAAUAGACAAAGUAGCACCAUAAUCAUAACCAUCCCACACUGAACAAAUGGCCAUUGCCGAUCUCGCAGAAACAUCUUCUUCCAAGGAAAAACAUGUGUUUCCAGACCUCUGACUUUGGCCAUCUUCAGAGACUUUGAAUAAUUGUUUAUUUGUGGGUUCUUUUUUUUUCACCCUGUUCCACUGAGGAGAAGUAGGGAGAGAGCAGCUGGGUAGGACAUUGUUAGCCACAGUUAAUCUACCAUACCAGUGUAUCAUCUUUGUAGCAUCUUUAAUUUGAUCUGUAUCAAAUGAGAGUAUUCAAAAAGUCACAAUUCUAGAAAAAUAUGUGAAUGUAACUUCAUGUUCUGAAGCUAAGCGCAUGAAAGAUUUUGCUUGCCUCUUUGUGGGUAAAAGUGGACAUUCCAGCAAAAGACAUGUAUAUAGGUCUUAAUUUUUUUUAAUUUCUCAAAAGUGAGUCUUAGUGGUUUUCCUCAUUCUCAUUUUUAAUUACAGAGAAGGGGUGGAAAUUAAUUCAAAUUACCCCAAAUAACUUUUGAAAACUGAUUCCUAUUCUUCCUACAUGUUCGAUCUGUAAGAUGUAUGCACAAAGUAAUGUUUGUCAAGAUGUGACAAUAUAACCAUAAUGACAUUAAUGUCUUAUCCAGGAGUCCCUGCUGGACAAACACUGCUGGAGCAUCACACUUGCCAAACAAAGCCAAGGCAGUCUUCUGUACCUUCUAGUUGCUUUCUACAGCUCAGGCUCUCUGCCAUUACCUCCUCCAAUCAAGCAUGAUUACAUACAUGCCUUCAGCUGGCAUUCUGACAAUUCAAGACAUGAGAUAGUGACAAAUAUAAACAGUGCUCUUAAAUUUGGAAAUCAGUAUCUAAGAGGUGGUAUGGUUGAAUUUUGGAACCAAUAUAAGCUGUCUACACAUAAUGCAAGGAAUACUGCAAGUGGUAUUAGACGUUUCAAUAUCUAUAUUACGUACCUUUAAACAUUCCAAAAUAUAUUUACAGUAUCUGGAAGUGUUUCUAAUGGAUCUUAUGUACAUGCAGUGUUUAGUCAAGUGGACUGUCCCUAUAGAGAUUAUGAACACAUCUGAUCCAUAAAACUCAGCUUCCUCAUUGGCUUGUGUUUUGCCUUGUGACACCUAAUAAUUUGAACUAUCAGAUCUAAAAUGUGCUUAAUAGAUUUGUAAUUUUACCCUGAGUGAAGAAUCAACUCAGCCAAACUUCUACCCAAUUUCAGAACAGCAUUAAAAACAUUUGGCAACUGAAAAUCUGCUAAGAUGUUUUUUAUCAAAACAGUUGGGAAUUAUACUUCUUAAAUUGCCUGUGGCUGCUUAUAAGAUUUUUUUUAAAAUAACAAUUCUUCUAUAUUUAUGGCAGUAGCUCAUCUAUUGCUACAAAUCAAAGCAAAAAAUUUCAACAUGAUGCUGAAAAUGAAGUUAAAGUUUGUAGCUGAGUUUCUUCAAAGAGGUUCUGAAUUUGGGGUUAGAGUACUCUCAUGUAUUUUUAUUUCAUGUUUAAUAACUCAUUUUUGCCUGUGAGAGUCCUUUCUUUCUGAAACUUGGUAUGACAUAAUGUCAUUUUUACACACUCAAGUCUUGAUCUUGUUGGCUGCCACAGGUGCCAUAAAAAUGUAAGGAAGGCAAAUAUCUCAAUUGAAAAUCUUAAAUUAAUGUUUUGUCACAAUUCAGCUGUUAUAUGCAGGAAGCUGAAUGGCUUAUAAUUCUUAGGUCUUUAGCUGAUAUAGGACCACUGAUUUUAGGAAGCCGAUGUGGCUAGCAAGGCCAGUUAUUCAUUUAAGCCAAACAAGGAAGCAGUAAAAUUUCUGACUAUUUUACUAAUGGCAGAGUGCAAUGGAACCUUAGAAUAGGACAGUUCAGUUGGAAGGGAUCUAAGACAAUCAUCCAGUCCAGCUGACUGACCAGUUCAGGACUGACCAAAAGUUAAAGCACACUAUUAGGGGCGUUGUCCUAAUGCCUCUUAAAUGCUGACAGGCUUGGGACAUUGAGCACUUCUCUAGGAAGCAUGUUCCAGUGUUUGACCACCCUCUGAUGAAGAAAUGCUUCCUAAUCCAGUCUGAAUCUCCUGUGGUGCAGGUUGAAAGUCCUUUCUGUCCUAUCACUGGGUCGGAGGGAGAAGCAAUCAGAACAUCCCUCUCCACUUCCCCUCCUUGGGAAGCUCCUCCAGAGAGCAAUGAAGUCACCUGUCAACCUCCUUCACUCCAAACCAGACAAACCCAAAGUCCUCACCUGCUCCUCAUAGGACUUGUGUUCUAAAUCCAGAUUGCUAAUAGAUAACCAGAGUUGAAAUUACUAAGAAUGCAUGUGUGUACACCAGAAGGAAAACACAGGAAACAGCAAGAGAAUUAAGUCAGAGAGUAACCCAAACAAGAGAAUUUAGAGUAAAAUGUUAUCAGAUGAAAGAUGUGUCUCCUAUUUCUUACUUGCCACCAUAUUCAGGAAAAUAGGAUUCCAUGUACAUUUUUCAAGAGUAAACAAGAUUACAACAAAGACAUUUCUGAUUGCAAAAUCAAUUUCAGGGGAGAAUAAAACAAUCUGAAAGGUCUCAAACUGCUUAACUUCUCAAGCUAUAUCUCUGUGGAAUUGUGUCUUGCUAUUCUUCUUAUUAUAGACCUGUAAGCGAAAAGAAGGGUGUUAUUUCCAAAAUGUUAUAGUUUGUGAGAUACAAACUGAAGGGAAAACAACUAUAUUUGUGAGGCAAUGAAGGAUUAUUGCACACUCAUUUAAAGCUAAAACAUAUAGUUUGUAAUUUAAUAGUAAAUCAUUCUAUGUUUAUAUGUUAUAUUUUUCUUAUGAAGUGACUUCAUAAGAAACAAAAACCCAACCAAAACAGCAAUGCUGAUUUGUCGUAAGAAAGCUGUUUUGCCAUACAGAAAUGGAAUAUUUUUCAGUUAGAGUUAUUUUCAUCAUUCUGUGAUAUAGCUAUUUCUUCUUACAUUAUUAUUUUUAACUGUUAAAAAUAAUCCUGCCAGGGGUAAAGGAAUAGAACAAUUUUUCAAAGUUUACAUUUCUGCUCUUAUGAAGACAAUAUAUUCAAAAAGAAAAAACACAAACUGCCCAAUCUCCUUAUGCUAAAAUAGGAAGUGUUCUAGGCAUUCUGCUAGAAUAUGGGAGGGAAGCUUUGGUCCUUGCUCUGAAGGUUGCUGGUAUUUUUAAAUAAAUACAGUUUACUGUAAAAGAUUCCUUUCAAAACUUCCUGUUCAGGAAGCCUUGUCUGGAAAUUUGUGCACUUUUCCCUCUUGAGUGAUUCCUUUAUCCUUUAUACACAAACCUUUAUUUAGUCUUUGCUUCUCUGCUUUUCUACAUGGUCCUUGUAUGCUGACCUACACAAUGGUGCAUAAGUCAUGAUGUGAUCGUGUCUGAAAAUCAGAGUAUAUUGAGGGAAUUUGGGUUGAGUCAAAUGAAUGCCUGCCUAUGUGGGGACUGCAGUGGAGGAUGAACUGACAGGCAGGAGUGCACCACCAUCAAAUUAGAGUGAAUGAGGGAUUAGACCAGGUUGGAAUGGAUGGCUGUGGGCAACAUAACUGAAUUUUAGCCUCAUUUAAAAAGGGUUUAGCUAGACUGCAUUCUUUCUGAUCACAUCAGCAUCCUGCAAAUGUACCUAUUGAUGUACAUAGUCACUGCCUUCUUCCCACAGAUAAAAUCUUUUUACUAUUUGUUGUACAGUAACAGCAGCCAUAAAGCAGGAGUGGCCCCAAAAGCCAGGUGAUGAAGUGUGUAGCUUAGAGGCAUUUCCAAGGCAGAUUAACACUCCUGAAGUAAAACUGGCCCAGUUUUGACAAAGAUUUUUCCUACGGAGUGUGGCAAUGCAGCAAACAGUGGCAAUACAGGAAAAUAACACUGAGAAAUCAUCGUUCAAAUGUCAGCAAGACAAAUGUCCCCUGUUGUGGCAGCCAGAGACCACAGCAGUCUAGAUACACUGUAGCAAUUCUUCAGGGCUUCUGACAGUGGUAGGAAACAGUUCUUACCUUUCCCUCAGGAAAAAGAUUACCACUGCAACUCCCAAGGCAACAGCUCCCAAGCAUGCUGAGAGUGAGAAAAUCCAAGUCUCUUUAUAUCUGCUCUUUCAGCUUUGCUCAGAGGUUUCCUUUUGCAUCAAUGGUGAAAGGUAGGAAUGACAUCCAGAUGUUCUGAAGUCUAUUUGGAGCCCCUCACCCCCUCCAGCACAGACACCUUGCAUGCCUCACAGCACUCUGCUGUAAGUAAAAGCUGGGACUCUACUUUUCAAGCACCACAAAGAGGUGGAGGAAGGAGCCUGAGAGUGGACCUAUGUUUCUCAAUCAGUGGAAGAGGUCACAGCACUGCUUAGGAAUGACAACACUCAGGCUCAAAGUACUGUGCACUUUUGAAGAACCUUCUAAUCAAAAUUUAAGUGUAUCCAACAAGCAAAAAUUUGGUUUCUUUCCUAUUGUACAGUAAAUCAUUACAAGCUUUUACUCAGUGUCUAAAACUGAAAUAGAGUUUGGUUUCAAAUGCAAGAUAGUAAUGAAAAUAAAACCCAGAGAUAUUCUUUGUGAAGACUGACAAAUUUCAAAGAAUGCAAAGUACAAACAUUCCAAAUACACAAUUACAUAAACUAUCUCAUUUUGCAAUAAAACUCAGUAAAACAUUAAAUUUUUAAUGCUUCUUUACCAUAGAAUAUGCAAAUCAACUUGUAAAAGUCUACAUCUUCCAACAAUAGAUGGCAUGACAAAUUCCUAUGUUCAUCACAACAUUAAAUGAUGUUAUAGCAUUUUAACAUUUGCGAAACUAAUCAUAACUGCCUAAGUAAUAUAUGAUGAUCAACUUAGCUCUAAAACAUUACAUAGAUUUAUUUUUUUUUCUCACAGCAAAAUGUAAAGUUACGAUAGAAGGAACAACAUCUCAAAAAUAUUUUACUACUUAUACUGAUUUAUCUGAACUGAGGACUAGGAAAAUAUUCCACUAUCCAUUACAGUGGUGUAAAUCAUAAUGCUCAGUGUCAAAGAAUAAGAGGUUUCUGUUUAUUAGCAACAAUAAGCACAAAGCCUGUUGCCUACUUCUAGGAGCAAUAGGCUGAAUUUUACGUUUCAUUUAAAAAUCAGUGAAGUAAUUUUAGGCACAGGUCUUCCUUAGAAAAGUACAAAAGUCACUUUUAAAUGGACAAAGCUUGUUGAUGUUUAUUUUUGCAACAGGAACACACCUGCUUCUUCAGGACAGGAACCACAUGGGUUUUCCUUCACAGAAUCAAGCCUCAGGAGCUGCUCAGCAUGAGGAGUACUUCAAAGACAGUGUGGUGUCUGAGAAUGCUGCUGAAGCAAAGGAAGGGUCUGGGCUGUGGUGUGCACACCUUAACACAGUCCCUCGUCAGACAACCAGGCUGUUAUUUAGCAACCCCAGAACGUUAUUAAUCAUUGUAUAAGAUGUUAUAUCAAUACAUUCUCAGUGCUCUUCAGCAAGGUAAAGGUAGGAUUGAAAUCAGCUGAUUAGCAGCUAGUGAGAGAAGAAUAGGCACAGAUUUAUAGGUCUGAAGUAGUGAACAGAAAGAGGACAAUUAGGGCAUAUACGGAUUCAUGUAUUAGCAGUCCACAAAUUUGUGAUUUCCACAAUAGAACAACUCCUUACUACUAUGUGGAUUAUUGAAGUGUCUUCUGCAGAACAAAAGAAAAGGAGGAGAGGGACAGGAAUGUGAACUUCACAUCAAAGUGAAGUUGCUGAUAUCCAUAUGCAGGUGUAAGAGAGGGGUAAGAGGUAUAAGGAGAGCAUGGUAAUAACUGACCUCUGUCUAAACUGGAAUAGCCCUCUCCACGCUCUACUUGCCAUCAAAUGUCUUCCUUCCUAUAGAACAGCAUUGGCUCAGAUCCAUUUUUAAAAGAUUUUAGGCAAUAAAAACCAUUACUUCAAAAAUGGGAAAAGCAGUGAGGUAGCAAUGUCUGCUUUGGCCUUUGUGGUGGGUAUAGUUUCAAGAUUAUCUGCAAUUAUCUCCUCGUUCAACCAUUACCAAAACACACUGUUGUGCAUCAGUAGUUAACAACUGUUGAAUCUCAGUGACAGUCCCUUGGAAGGAAAUGCUAUCAGGUAAGUCAGGAAGCCCUGCAUGCACCUCUGAAAUGUAGUACUCCUUCUUUAAGUAAUAAGAAUAGUCUGUUCUAUGUACUAUGGCAAAUCUCCAAGCACCACACAGGGCUGAACUUUAGAUGAAGCUGGCAUAUUUGCAACAGCUGGCCUAAGUCAGUCUCAUUGUUUGGAUCAACCGUCUCUAAACAGAGCUUAGAAAUAACCAUUCAAUUUCUCUUUUAAUAUCUUCAUUUUUAAUUGGCUUGUUGCAUUCUUUAUAUGCAUUGAAAUUCUAGUACACUAGCUCCUGUGGGAAAAUAGUACUCAGCAAUUUGAACUUGUUAGCUGCUCUGAACAUAGGGGACCUGAUUUUCAUUUAUGUUACAGUCGCUUUAUAUUGCUCAGGCAGUAAAUUGCAUUUACACUCAGUAAAUGAGCAACCAGAGUAGUGUAAAGUAACUUUAGCAUGAAUGAGAAUUAGGCCCAAAGCCUUCCUAAGUUUUUAUAACAACUCUGUUAUUCAUCUCAAUUGGUGAGAUAGGGAUUGAUUGACAAACAAAUAGCAACACAGUAUUGCCUAGUUUGGACGGAGAAUUGAGCCAGGGAUUAGAAAACCCCAAUUCAGCGAAGGAAAUCAGACUGGCUAUUAAAAGCCUGAAGUCCAACAAAGCACUAAGGCCAGAUGGUUUCAGCAUACAUUUUUACAAUCAGCUAAGUAUAAAAGAUGAAAUAGCUCCCCUGCUGGUUAAAGUAUUACAAAAUUAUUUACAGAUGGGAAUUAAUGUUAAUGAGUCAUGUAGAUAACUCCCUACAUACCAUGCUGAAAAUUUACCACCCUCAAGUUCAGUCCCAGCCAAAGCACCAGAAAGUUUCAUCAUUUGAAAAUCAAAAUAGAUGUUCCUUGUUUUACCACGUACAACUAACCAUUUCAGUUUCACAUCUAAGAGGCAUAAACAGAAGUAAGAUAAUGAGGGACAGAGCUAGUACCAGAAAUGCCCUAAAUGUGAAGAUUAUUUUAACUGUAAAUUCCCGUGGCUGGAAGAUUUACUCAUAAAAUAUAACAUACAGUAUGAGUGUGCUAUGGAGAGGACUGAUAUUAAAGAUGUGUGUAAGAGUGGUUGAGAGGAAUAUGCAGCUCUCUCUUUGUGUGAGUGACUCAGAGCCCUGUUAGGCCAAAAUGCAGAUUUCACCAUUUGAUGCUCCCAUGGGGCAGCCACUCACAUGAUAAAAGUGUUAAUGGGCCACCUAACUGCACACCAGUGAAACACUGAGAAUAUUCUGCACUUUUUAUCUGAAUAUAUGUACUGUUUGUUUGCACAGAUGCAAUUUAUUAGAUCUAACCCAAUCAAAAAUUUAUAAUAUACAAUAAAGAACACAGAAAAUUUCCUCACAGUGAACUUUUAGUCAGCUUAUAUGAAUGCAGAUUUUUCUCCUGUGUACAAAUUUAAGUUUUUCUCCUGUGUACAAAUUCAAGCUUUUUCCUCACUAAGUGCACAGGUAGAAGUAGACUGGAAUCUGAAUGAGCAGUUUCAGAUUCCUCUCCUCUCCACAGAUAAAAAUCUCCCUAAUCAUUGCACUCCCUUAACAUAUUCAUUUCUCUGAGGUAUAGCUAGCUUACUGUUUGAUCUCUCUUCUCUCAUUAAAAAGCAAACAAUUUAAAAAUACUCCUUGAUCAAGGUCCUUUCAAUUGCUCAUUUUACAAAUAGGGAUAAUCCAAAAUGAAUGAGACCAAGAAUAAAUUUCUGCUAUUAGUCAAAUAUAAUUACAGCCAGACAAAUGAUACUUCUUAAUUUUAAGAUUUCAUUCAGGAUCUGGGCUAGCAAGGCAGGUUAACACAGCACUCAACUUUCAGCUUUUCCAUUGUUUUCACUUUGACUUUAAUUAUAUUUAUUUGGCCUGUAAUAAGGACUGACUAACCACUUCAGCAUACAAAGAAACUACUAUCAGAUACAUUAUUUCAAAAGUCUGGGUUUGGAGGAAGAUGAAGACAGGUAAAGCUUCUGCAGAGAUCAUCAAAUGAUUUAGCCCUGCCGAGGGAAAACAAACAAAAACACUCAACUACCAGAGAAACAGGUUUUAGAAACACAUCUAUAGAAAAGGUUUCCUUGUGGUCAGUCCUUGAACAACCUUCUUCUGACUUUCCCUUCACUUAGAUAUUUUCCUUUUUAAAUCAAUCUUCAGCCUACUCAAAUAGCCAAUGCUGAGAUAUAUUUGAUGCUCUCCAAUAUUGGACAGUGGUGGAUUUUAUUUUUUUAGCUCCAGCAAUACCUGAAGUGCAAAAACCAUCCCACUCCACCCCCCCCCCCCCAGCAAAAAAACCCCUGAACCAGCAACCCAAAAAACAACAACAAAACCUGAAACAAAAGCGAAGGGCCAUUGUUGAAGGAAACAGGAGUUCCCUUUGGAGGGAACCCUUCAUCAUGAGGACUUGUGGCAACUCUGUAACAGGUUUGCACCAUUUCCAUGACUUCUUUGUGGGCUGCUCCAUGACCGAUGGCAGUGCUGUGGGAGGUGCCAGUGAGCACCAAGCAGCACUGUCGGACCCAUUGUGGUCCAAAUUGUCAAAGCUUGGCUAACAGCUGAUUCUCUUGUGUUAUGUUCACUUGUUAGUUAUAAGGACUGUCACUGAGAAGCCCAGGGGCAAUUCUGUAAAACCCAGUUUAUUAUCCAGAUCAUGAGAGGUAAUUCCUGAUGGCCCCAGCAUGCACAGUGCUGUUGGUCAGCUGGCACUAACUGCAAGGAAUCACACAUGUGCCACAGCUUGCACACAAUACAUAAAGGCACAUUUCUCAGAGAUAUCCCCUGCCAGUCAGUAAUAUGUACCCUAACUGUCAUUAAUACUAAUUUGCCUAAGUUAAUGAUACACUCAUUAACUAGAAAAGUAUAGGAAAGUAUAGUAAAGCAUAGUAACUAGAAAAAGAAUAGGAAACUCAUACUAGCUGUUGGGAAAAGUCCAUUUCUACAUCUGUGUUUUCCAUACAACUUGGCUUAAAUAUCUGCUCUGCUCUUGCAAGAACCCCAUCUGGAAUACUGUGUCCAAAUCUGGAGUCCUCAGUACAUAAAAGACAUUGACCUGUUAGAGAGAGUUCACAGGAAAGCCACAAAGGUUGUCAGAAGGCUGGAGUAUCUCCUGUAUGAGUACAGGCUGAGAGAGCGGAGGCUGUUCAGCCUGGAGAAGAGAAUGCACUGAGGACACCUUGUAGCACCUUCUAGUACCUGAAGGGUAUUCUGAAAAAGAGGGAUAGUGAGUUUUUACAUGGGCAGAUAUUGAUGGGACAAAGGAAAAUGGUUUCAAUGGUUUUAAACUAAAAGAAGAGGGAUUUCAAUUAGAAAUGAAGAAGAAAUUCUCUACUGUGAGGGUGAUGAGGUAGUGGAACAAGUUGGCCAAGGAAGCUGUGGAUGCUCCAUCCCUGGAAGUGUUCCAAGCCAGGUCAGGUUGGUCCAUGAGAAACCUGAUUUAGUGGAAGGUACCCCUGCCCAUGGCAUCCUUAAGGUCAUUCCAGCCCAAGCUGUUCUAUCAUUCUGUGAUUCUGGUUCUGUGUAUCCUGUCAAAUCAAAUACCCAAAUCUCAGCAACUCCAUUAUAUUGUCUGUUUUCUAUGAGAGAGAUUUUCCCCCAAAGCCAUCUGAGUUAACUUUUGUCUGCUGAUAAUCUUAUUUUUCACUGAAAACUUUUUUCUCUUCUCCCCAAACUGAGAAUUCCUUUCUCUCAGCUUCUUUCUUUUUGAACAUUUUCAUUAUAAGGAUGAGAAAUAAUGGGUAUACAAAUACUACAGUUGUUAUAUUUCAGUCUUGACAUGAAAAACUGUAUCUGAAACAGAUACAGUUUGAAAGUAUAAAUGACUCUCUAUAGUUUUCCUUAUUGCAUAUUAGAAGAAAUUUAGAUUGCAAGAUAAAGAUUUAAUGAACACAUUAAGAUGUAAAGACCAUUACUUAUUAAACUAAAACUGAGAUAAUGCAACAAACAAAUUAAAAAUACUGUUGCAAAUAAAUCAGCAAGUUGAUGGCUAUUUGAUUUAGAUUAUCAAGUUAUUCCAGCUAUGAGUCAAACCCUGCUGUGAGGUUGAGACAAGAAAAAAGUGGGAUUUUUUUUUUUUCUAGUCCUGUAUUGGGAAAGAAAUUGUGUUUGUGUCUCAGUUUAAUACAACUAUUUUGUUCACAUUUUUUUCCAUAAUAAUAGGGAUUUUCUGACAGCAAUUCAACUGUCAUGACUGCUUUAACAGAACAAUACAUAGACUGGAUAUUUUCUAGCAAGUACAGUGACUAAAUAAGCUUCCUUAGCUACAUUUUCACUGCUGUUUUCCCUUUUUCUUAAAUGUCAUAAUUGUUCUAGUAGCUAUUCUUUUGCUUUUCUUAUUACCUUCCCUAGUGCACAUAACAACAUAAAAACUAAGCAACAGAAAUAAAAGAGUGUUUACUAUGACAGGUUUCUACAUAACAGUUGCUCCAGAAAGCACUUCUGUAACUUUGACAGCACUUACUCACAUAAAAGACCAAUUUGGGAGCUCAUUUUAAGGUUUCAGAAAGUAUUAUCAGUAGGAUUUUUUUCACAAGCACAUAAAUUCAUUCUUUGUGCUUUCAUGAGCUGGCAGGACACAAAAGGACUAUUCCCUUAACACAAGGUAGUAGAAGGAUACACUUUUACUUCUUGGCCUACAGAUCUUUGAUGUAUGCAGGGGCUGCAUAGAGUAGCUGAUACAGUACUUUGCUUAAUUUUUUAACACCUGCAUCCACCUAAUGGAAAGCAGAUUUGUCAUCUGUCACACCCAGCUCAGACAGUUCUUGCAGAGUGUGCAGUAUCCAAAAGGAGAGUGGGACACUUCUUUUACCUGCUCUGUGUCCACCUUAGAUCACUCCUGGAGGUGAUUCUCAUAUGCAGUCUCUGGUAAUAGCUGCAGGCUUCUUAAAUAUCGGAUUAAAUAGCACAACCUUAAUACUGGACUGCAUGGCCUAUGUACAGUUAACAUAAUCCAGUCAUAUUUCCCACUUGAUAGGCUUUAGGACUAAGAUCACUACAGGAUCACAAAGCCACCCAACAACCACCCUUGGAAAAAUUCUUUCUUCAUCUGCCAAUGUUGAAAGCUCCAAAAAUAUUACAGCUGAAUUCUCUAUUACCUGGGGUAAAUCAAGACACACUAAUGUCGAUCCCCCAAAAUAUGAUUAGUAGGAAAUACAGUGCUGGGAUACUGAAGAAGCACCACUGAAGUCAGCCAGCAUUCAGCAUGAGAUGGAGCUGAGAACAGAAGAGACUCAGACUCCUUGCUGUGCCCUGUAGCACCCUCUGAUCAAUGGUUUCUGGCACACGACCGCAGAUCUGAGCUGGCUCUGUCUGCUCCCAAAGAGCUGCUGAGGGAGUUAAUAAGCCUCCUGGAAUUCACUGCCCUGAGAGGAAUGAUGCAAAGCCGUGAGGUUGGCUCUGUGGUGCUCAGCGGGGUGCUGGGACCGAGCCAGAGCAAAUGAGCCCGGCUGAUUCUGCUGAGGGACAGUUAAUUGCCUCUGAAACAGGCACCCCAGGACUCUCGGUUCACUCUAAGGAGCAGGCUCGGGCUUGUAGGAGUCAUGAAUUGAUCAAUCAGCCAUGGAGAAGUAGCUAAAACUGCUUUUGAAUUACUAGUGCUGACCCUGGAAGCAGUGCAGUUUGUGAUCAUGCAGUGCUCUGUCUGAAGCGACAGGCUCUGCACAGAGCCAGCUCCUGCCCUGCUCUCCCUGUGAGAGUAACCCACCCGCUGGACACUCACCCACUUAACCCCCUGAGCAUUAAGUGUAUCAGUUGCAUGCAAACCCCAGGCAGAAAAGGUGGCAUAAAUGUUUCUACCUUCUCUUAACAAAUAAACCAUAUUUGAAUCAUUCUUUUAAAAUGACUAAUGACCUUGUGAACACUCAACACUCACACUCAUUCACCUUUCUUUUUAUCACGAGAUUCCAAGUCAUAUAUCCUUGCAUGAAGGGAAAUUAGGCAAAUGUGUUGUAAGAUUUUAUCAAGGAGUAUUUUCCUGAUCUGCUCAGCAGAAACUACUUCCACCCCUUCUUACACUAAAUUCUAUUUAACAUUGCUUAAAUGUAAGGUAUUUAACAGACAGUUUUCCCCACCCCUCCUCAUGGUCUCUCUAGCACUCGUAUUUACUGCAACUGCUGGAAGCAAAUUUAAUAGAACUGCUGGCAGCAGUUUUUCAGCAGAAAGGCACUUGUUGCAAGACUCCUCUUCCAUUUCCUUUCCACCUUUUCUUCUUAUUGACGAGGAUGGCAAUUUAGUAGUUUCCCCCAUGCCUUGCAGUUCCUUCUCCAGACCACCUGCUGGACAUUAUUACACCACCAUUACCUCUAUGACAUUGAUUUCUGAUGAAUCUGCCUUAAAAACUGUGACUGUGGUUCUAUUUA